rnacentral:rRNA from 1 species
UCAGGACGAACGCUGGCGGCGUGCCUAAUACAUGCAAGUCGAACGGUCUUUCUAUGGAAGCUUGCUUCCACUGAGAAGAUAGUGGCGAACGGGUGAGUAACACGUGGGUAACCUGCCCAUAAGAGGGGGAUAACAUCCGGAAACGGGUGCUAAUACCGCAUAGUUUUCUUGAUCGCAUGAUCGGGAAAGGAAAGACGGCCUUUGUGCUGUCGCUUAUGGAUGGACCCGCGGCGUAUUAGUUAGUUGGUGAGGUAACGGCUCACCAAGACGAUGAUACGUAGCCGACCUGAGAGGGUGAUCGGCCACAUUGGGACUGAGACACGGCCCAAACUCCUACGGGAGGCAGCAGUAGGGAAUCUUCCGCAAUGGACGAAAGUCUGACGGAGCAACGCCGCGUGAGUGAAGAAAAGGUUUUCGGAUCGUAAAACUCUGUUGUCAGAGAAGAACAAGUUGGAGAGUAACUGCUCCAGCCUUGACGGUAUCUGACCAGAAAGCCACGGCUAACUACGUGCCAGCAGCCGC